GCCCUCGUAGUUAAACGGAUAUAACUUUCCCCUCCUAAGGGAACAUUGUGCGUUCGAUUCGCGCCGAGGGUGCCA
rnacentral:tRNA from 1 species